UGGUAAGGUGGGCGCCUAUCCCCUUGUUUGCCCCUCUUCCCCUUGUUUGGAUUUGUAUUAAACGAAGAAUGUGGGUUAACCUUUGAACACCUGCCUAUCCCUGGACCAAGAUUAGGAUUUCUGGAAUGUGAAGUCAUAAACUCCUGUGGGCUUUGCCUAGUGGUUUCUUUUUGCCUAUAUAAGUUCUGUGGGAGACAAAUAAAACUGGCACUAUUUCUCUCUUUCAUAUAGUGUCUGUUCUUUCUUUUUUUGUUACCUGUUAUUCUUCAUUUUUCGUUACCCCAAGUAGGAUCUCACAGGACUGGCCGACCCUGUGGAGGAGUCUUCCAGGAAAAGACCCUGAUGUUGGGAAAGGAUGAAGGUGACUUCUUUCAUUGCAUGGAGAAUACAGAGUGCUGUUAUAAUCCUAUAUCAGAUUAUUUACUGCCUCAGAGAGAGGUGAGGGAGGAAGAGAAUCCAGAUUGCAAAAUGACAGGAAGUUAUAAAUUGUAUCAUGAAAAAAGAAAAAGAAAAUAAAGCAGAUUUAUUUGUAAUUUUGUGAAAUGAAUCAAAACUAAGAGAAAGAAAAUGAGAAGAAAAAAAAUGAAUGAUAUAAAAUAAAAGCAAUUGACAUACUAAAC
rnacentral:lncRNA from 1 species